UUCGGGUUGAUCCUGCCGGACCCGACCGCUAUCGGGGUGAGGCUAAGCCAUGCGAGUCUGCGCUCUCAGCCAUGAGAGAGCGCGGCGCACGGCUCAGUAACAUGUGGUUAACCUACCCUCAGGACGGGGAUACCCUCGGGAAACUGAGGCUAAUCCCAGAUAGAUGAGGGAUCCUGGAAUGGUUCCUCAUCGAAAAGGCACGCAUAUCAUGCUAUGCGUGUCGCCUGAGGAUGGGACCGCAUCCUAUCAGGUAGUUGGUGGGGUAACGGCCCACCAAGCCUAUAACGGGUACGGGCCCUGAGAGGGGGAGCCCGGAGAUGGGUACUGAGACAAGGACCCAGGCCCUACGGGGCGCAGCAGGCGCGAAACCUCCGCAAUGCGCGAAAGCGCGACGGGGCCACCCCGAGUGCCAUCCGCUGAGGGUGGCUUUUCCCUAGUGUAGUAAGCUAGGGGAAUAAGCGGGGGGCAAGUCUGGUGUCAGCCGCCGCGGUAAUACCAGCUCCGCGAGUGGUCGGGACGAUUAUUGGGCCUAAAGCGUCCGUAGCCGGCCUAACAAGUCUCUGGUUAAAUCUCAAGGCUUAACCUUGAGAUCGCUGGAGAUACUGUUAGGCUAGGGGGCGGGAGAGGUUGAGGGUACUUCGCGGGUAGGGGCGAAAUCCUAUAAUCCGCGAAGGACCACCAGUGGCGAAGGCGCUCAACUGGAACGCGCCCGACGGUGAGGGACGAAAGCUAGGGGAGCAAAGGGGAUUAGAUACCCCCGUAGUCCUAGCUGUAAACGAUGCGGGCUAGGUGUUGGGUUGGCUUCGUGCCAACCCAGUGCCGCAGCGAAGGCGAUAAGCCCGCCGCCUGGGAAGUACGGCCGCAAGGCUGAAACUUAAAGGAAUUGGCGGGGGAGCACCACAAGGGGUGAAGCCUGCGGUUUA
rnacentral:rRNA from 1 species